GUUUGUAGUGGAUGCCUUGGGUCUGGAAGUCGAAGAAGGACGUGAUUACCUGCGAUAAGCCUCGUUUAGUUGGAUAUAAACUUUGAGACGGGGAUUUCCGAAUGGGGAAACCUAACUAGAUUAAUCUCUAGUUGCCCACUUUUGAAUAUAUAGAAAGUGUGAGCGAGACACCUUGUGAAUUGAAACAUCUUAGUAGCAAGAGGAAAAGAAAAUAAAUAAUGAUUCUGUUAGUAGUGGCGAGCGAAAGCAGAAGAGCCCAAACCGUAUUUAUACGGGGUUGUAGGACAGUCUACAUAGAGUUACAAAGAUUAUGUAUAGUAGAAAAAGCUGGGAAGCUUUGACAUAGAGGGUGAUAUCCCCGUAUACGAAAUGCAUAAUUCUCUUGACUGCAUCCUGAGUAGGGCGGGGCACGUGAAACCCUGUCUGAAUCUGCCGGGACCAUCCGGUAAGGCUAAAUACUAACCAGACACCGAUAGUGAACUAGUACCGUGAGGGAAAGGUGAAAAGAACCCCGGGAGGGGAGUGAAAUAGAUUCUGAAACUACUUACUUACAAUUAGUCAGAGCACGUUAAUGUGUGAUGGCGUACAUCUUGCAGUAUGGACCGGCGAGUUAUGUUAACAUGCGAGGUUAAGUGGAUAAAAGCGGAGCCGAAGAGAAAUCGAGUCUGAAUAGGGCGAAUUAGUAUGUUGACAUAGACCCGAAACCAGGUGAUCUAUUCAUGAGCAGGUUGAAGCUUAGGUAAUACUAAGUGGAGGACCGAACCGUAGUACGCUGAAAAGUGCCCGGAUGACUUGUGAAUAGCGGUGAAAUUCCAAUCGAACCUGGAUAUAGCUGGUUCUCCUCGAAAUAGCUUUAGGGCUAGCGUGUGAUGUUAAACUUUGGUGGUAGAGCACUGAAUAUGGAAUGGCGGCGCCUAGCUGUACUGACUAUAAUCAAACUCCGAAUACCAUUGUGUAUUAUCAUGCAGUCGGAACAUCGGUGAUAACGUCGAUGCUCGCGAGGGUAACAACCCAGAUCGUCAGCUAAGGUCCCAAAAUUUAUGUUAAGUGAUAAAGGUUGUGAGGUUUCUCAAACAACUAGGAAGUUGGCUUAGAAGCAGCCAUCUUUUAAAGAGUGCGUAAUAGCUCACUAGUCAAGAGACCUUGCGCCGACAAUGUAACGGGACUAAACAUAAUACCGAAGCUACGGGCAUUAUUAAAUGCGUUAGAGGAGCGUUCUAAGGACGGCGAAGCUAAACCGUGAGGAUUAGUGGAGUGCUUAGAAGUGAGAAUGCCGGUAUGAGUAACGAUUCAGAGUGAGAAUCUCUGACGCCUAUUGGGAAAGGUUUCCUGGGGAAGGUUCGUCCACCCAGGGUUAGUCGGGUCCUAAGAUCAGGCUGAAAAGCGUAGUCGAUGGAUAACAGGUUAAUAUUCCUGUACUUCCGAUAGUAAGUGAUGGAGUGACGGAGAAGGAUAAUUCUACCAAUUAAUGGAUUUUGGGGCAAGGAAAUGAGGGGUCAAUGUAGGCAAAUCCGCAUUGUUUAACCUUGAGUUCUGAUGCAUAGGGAAAGUUUCGACAAUUACCGAAUUGAAUGAUUUCACGCUUCCAAGAAAAGCUUCUAAACGUUAUAAAACUAUAGGAACCCGUACCGAGAACGGACACACGUUCCCAAGAUGAGUAUUCUAAGGCGAGCGAGAAAACCAAUGUUAAGGAACUCUGCAAAUUCACCCCGUAAGUUCGCGAGAAGGGGGGCCAUUCUUUGAAUGGCAACAUUAAAUUGUGAGGGGCAACUGUUUAUCAAAAACACAGCUCUCUGCUAAGUCGCAAGACGAUGUAUAGGGGGUGAAGUCUGCCCAGUGCCCGAAGGUUAAGUGGAG
rnacentral:rRNA from 1 species